ACCUGGCUGGCUCAGAUAGUAGAGCAUGUGACUCUUGAUCUCAGUAUUGUGAGUUCGAGCCCCAUGCUGGGCA
rnacentral:tRNA from 1 species